rnacentral:rRNA from 1 species
AGUGAACGCUGGCGGUAGGCCUAACACAUGCAAGUCGAACGGCAGCACAGUAAGAGCUUGCUCUUACGGGUGGCGAGUGGCGGACGGGUGAGGAAUACAUCGGAAUCUACUUUUUCGUGGGGGAUAACGUAGGGAAACUUACGCUAAUACCGCAUACGACCUACGGGUGAAAGCAGGGGAUCUUCGGACCUUGCGCGAUUGAAUGAGCCGAUGUCGGAUUAGCUAGUUGGCGGGGUAAAGGCCCACCAAGGCGACGAUCUGUAGCUGGUCUGAGAGGAUGAUCAGCCAAACUGGAACUGAGACACGGUCCAGACUCCUACGGGAGGCAGCAGUGGGGAAUAUUGGACAAUGGGCGCAAGCCUGAUCCAGCCAUACCGCGUGGGUGAAGAAGGCCUUCGGGUUGUAAAGCCCUUUUGUUGGGAAAGAAAAGCAGCAGGUUAAUACCCCGCUGUUCUGACGGUACCCAAAGAAUAAGCACCGGCUAACUUCGUG